AGAACGUUCUAAGUUUGUUGCCUCAG
rnacentral:piRNA from 1 species